rnacentral:rRNA from 1 species
UACGUAGGGUGCGAGCGUUGUCCGGAAUUAUUGGGCGUAAAGAGCUCGUAGGCGGCCUGUCGCGUCGGUUGUGAAAGCCCGGGGCUUAACCCCGGGUCUGCAGUCGAUACGGGCUGGCUUGAGUGCGGUAGGGGAGACUGGAAUUCCUGGUGUAGCGGUGAAAUGCGCAGAUAUCAGGAAGAACACCCGUGGCUAAGGCGGCUCUCUAGUACGGUACUGACGCUGAGACGCGAAAGCGUGGGGAGCGAACAGG